UCGGAUAUGGUGUAGUGUUUAACAUCGCUGGCUCUCAGUUUUGAGUUCUCAGCAGCCCGGGGUUUGAUUCCCCGUUUCCGAG